GUGUUAUAUGAAGGAAGAAGAGAUUAGCAUUUCCUUUGAUGAGGACAGAAGAGGCCCUAGUGCCCUGUUCAGCACAUGAAUGGAUGAGGCAACACCAUUUACUUUGGCAUCUAAAUAGGGCCUGUGUUUGUU